rnacentral:rRNA from 1 species
CCUACGGGGUGCUGCAGUGGGGAAUAUUGGACAAUGGGCGAAAGCCUGAUCCAGCCAUGCCGCGUGUGUGAAGAAGGCCUUCGGGUUGUAAAGCACUUUCAGUGGGGAAGAAAGCCUUGGGGCUAAUACCCUCGAGGAAGGACAUCACCCACAGAAGAAGCACCGGCUAACUCCGUGCCAGCAGCCGCGGUAAUUCGGAGGGUGCGAGCGUUAAUCGGAAUUACUGGGCGUAAAGCGCGCGUAGGCGGUCUGAUAAGCCGGUUGUGAAAGCCCCGGGCUCAACCUGGGAACGGCAUCCGGAACUGUCAGGCUAGAGUGCAGGAGAGGAAGGUAGAAUUCCCGGUGUAGCGGUGAAAUGCGUAGAGAUCGGGAGGAAUACCAGUGGCGAAGGCGGCCUUCUGGACUGACACUGACGCUGAGGUGCGAAAGCGUGGGUAGCAAACAGGAUUAGAUACCCCUGUAGUC